rnacentral:rRNA from 1 species
UACGUAGGGGGCAAGCGUUGUCCGGAUUUAUUGGGCGUAGAGAGCGUGUAGGCGGCUUGACAGGUCUGCUGUGAAAACUCGAGGCUCAACCUCGAGAUGUCGGCGGAAACCGUCUGGCUAGAGUCCGGAAGAGGUGAGUGGAAUUCCAUAGUGUAGAGGUGAAAUUCGUAGAUAUUAGGAAGAACACCAGUGGCGAAGGCGGCUCACUGGUCCGGUACUGACGCUGAGGUGCGAAAGCGUGGGGAGCAAACAGG